rnacentral:rRNA from 1 species
UAAUACGUAGGGGUCGAGCGUUGUCCGGAGUUACUGGGCGUAAAGCGCGUGCAGGUGGCUCAUUACGCCCGGCGUGAAAGCCCCCGGCUCAACCGGGGAGGGUCGUCGGGGACGGGUGAGCUUGAGGGUAGCAGGGGCUGGUAGAAUUCCCGGUGUAGUGGUGAAAUGCGUAGAGAUCGGGAGGAAUACCCGUGGCGAAGGCGGCCAGCUGGGCUACACCUGACACUGAGACGCGAAGGCGUGGGGAGCGAACGGGAUUAGAUACCCCGGUAGUCCACGCAGUAAACGAUGCAGACUAGGCGUGGGGGGACUUGACCCCUUCCGUGCCGAAGCUAACGCAUGAAGUCUGCCGCCUGGGGAGUACGGCCGCAAGGCUA